GCGCCGGUGGUGUAAGGCGAACAUCGCUGCCCGGAAAGCAGAAGAUGCGGGUUCUAGUCCCGCCUGGCGCA
rfam:Heligmosomoides polygyrus genome assembly, scaffold: HPBE_scaffold0002992